AAUGCAGCAGCGAAAAAAAAAAAAAAAGGCAGUUGGCUCGGCAGUCCUCAGUCCUCAGAGUUUUCAAAUCAAAUGCGAUCGGAUGAGUUAGAUCGGAGGAAGCUUGAGCCAGGCAGCCAGCAAUAGUGGAGAGAAAGAAUGAGAGAGGCGGAGAGCAAGAGUUGAGAGAAAAAAGCAGAGCAAGAAUGAGAAACAGAAACGGUGAUUGACAUGCUAUGUGGUAUUGGGUGCCUAAAUAUAGAGGAUGAACUCAGAACUUUUUCUUUUUUUUAAUGAGGAGAAGGGGUGUCACCAUAAAGCCAACGUUCAACUCCUUUCACAUUGUGGGAUGUCCCACAUUGAUGCCUUGUAUGGUCAACUUUGUUGGAACCUUACUACUGUAGCUUUGUUUUCGUUAUAUUAAGUUUAUAUAUUUUUCCACAUCUGACAUA